rnacentral:misc_RNA from 1 species
UUAAGUUCAGCGGGUAGUCCCACCUGAUUUGAGGUCAAGUUUCAAGCAUUGUCUCGCAGGAGACGGUUGGAAGCGACAGCCACCGGACAGCAUGCCAGAGACGUAGAUACUUAUCACGCCGAGGAUGCCUGGGCACCGCUAAUGCAUUUGAGAGGAGCAGGCUCAACGCCUGCAAGACCUCCAGGUCCAACCUCAGCCCA